rnacentral:rRNA from 1 species
UGGCGAACGGGUGAGUAACGCGUGAGGAACCUGCCUCAAAGAGGGGGACAACAGUUGGAAACGACUGCUAAUACCGCAUAAGCCCACGACCCGGCAUCGGGAAGAGGGAAAAGGAGCAAUCCGCUUUGAGAUGGCCUCGCGUCCGAUUAGCUAGUUGGUGAGGUAACGGCCCACCAAGGCAACGAUCGGUAGCCGGACUGAGAGGUUGAACGGCCACAUUGGGACUGAGACACGGUCCAA